GAUGAACGCUGGCGGCGUGCCUAAUACAUGCAAGUCGAGCGAACAGAUGAGGAGCUUGCUCCUCUAACGGUAGCGGCGGACGGGUGAGUAACACGUGGAUAACCUACCUAUAAGACUGGGAGAACUUCGGGAAACCGGAGCUAAUACCGGAUAAUAUAUUGAACCGCAGGGAUCAAUAGUGAAAGACGGCUUUGCUGUCACUUAGAGAUGGAUCCGCGCCGCAUUAGCUAGUUGGUAAGGUAACGGCCUACCAAGGCAACGAUGCGUAGCCGACCUGAGAGGGUGAUCGGCCACACUGGAACUGAGACACGGUCCAGACUCCUACGGGAGGCAGCAGUAGGGAAUCUUGCGCAAUGGGCGAAAGCCUGACGCAGCCAUGCCGCGUGAGUGAUGAAGGUCUUCGGAUCGUAAAGCUCUGUUAUUAGGGAAGAACAAAUGUGUAAGUAACUAUGCACGUUUUGACGGUACCUAAUCAGAAAGCCCCGGCUAACUACGUG
rnacentral:rRNA from 1 species